GACGAACGCUGGCGGCGUGCUUAACACAUGCAAGUCGAACGAAGAGCGAUGGAAGCUUGCUUCUAUCAAUCUUAGUGGCGAACGGGUGAGUAACGCGUAAUCAACCUGCCCUUCAGAGGGGGACAACAGUUGGAAACGACUGCUAAUACCGCAUACGAUCUAAUCUCGGCAUCGAGGAUAGAUGAAAGGUGGCCUCUACAUGUAAGCUAUCACUGAAGGAGGGGAUUGCGUCUGAUUAGCUAGUUGGAGGGGUAACGGCCCACCAAGGCGAUGAUCAGUAGCCGGUCUGAGAGGAUGAACGGCCACAUUGGGACUGAGACACGGCCCAGACUCCUACGGGAGGCAGCAGUGGGGAAUCUUCCGCAAUAGACGAAAGUCUGACGGAGCAACGCCGCGUGAGUGAUGACGGCCUUCGGGUUGUAAAGCUCUGUUAAUCGGGACGAAAGGCCUUCUUGCGAAUAGUGAGAAGGAUUGACGGUACCGGAAUAGAAAGCCGCGGCUAACUACGUG
rnacentral:rRNA from 1 species